AUCUGUGCUGCAAAGAGACAAGAGCAACGGCUUCAACCACACGGGUUUCCUUCCCGGGGCGCACGGCAGCCGCUCUCCCCUCCUCCUGCCCCUCGUCACUGCCGCCCCACCGGUCUCCACCUUCCCGUUCCCCGCGUGCGGCCGUGGGGCUCUGGGGCGGCGGCUGCAGCCGCUUUGCACCGACAAAAGCAACCCGGCGCGACCCGAGCCCGGACCCCGAGCCCUUUCCCAGCCCCGUGCCCCUUGCCGCCGGCCCCGGGUGAGGGCAGCCCUGCGGUUCUCCCUGCCCGGGGCAGGGUUCGCCCUGUCUGACUCAGCCUGCGGCGGGUGAUGGGGUCACGGCCGUACCAGCCGCCGUUUCGGGAGGCAUCGCCGCAGAGCCACGCUGCUCCGGCACCCAGGCUCAGCAGCAGGUUGCCCAGGUCGCCCAUGCUCUGCCGGUGGUGCGUGCUGGUCUUCAUGGCGCUGGGCAGGACCUCCUCCGUGUAGAACUGCAUCAUCUGCGACACCGACUGGCAGCCGAAGCUCCCCUGGGGCGAGAGGAGGUAACUGCGUUGGGGCCGGCCACCAGCACCGACCAGCCUCAUCGCUGAUGACUAACAGUUCCUGAUGGGUGAAGCAUAAAGUGGAGUGCCCUUUUUUUUUUUUUUCAAGAAUUUUUUUUUGCUGGCAAGGCAUGACGUUGAAUUUUUCACUUCUGGAAACCUGCUUCCUAGCACCUUUGUAGCACCCUUGUCAGAAUUUGCAAUGUGACUCAUAUCGACCUCAACAGAAACCAAUGAGAUCUCAGCACUGGCGUUUCAGGGAGUGGGGAGUACGUAUUCCGAGCGAGCAGGGAGGAUGAACGAGGCUUUCUCAGACAAGUUUGUUUGCAGAGAGAAUGGGUGAUGUAACCUGGCUGUUUCUCCAAUGAGGUAUCUUAAUUACAGAGACCCACAGAAAAUGUGAACUUGAGUUAUGAAAGCAGUAGAGUUCAGCAUUUGAAAAGCUAUUACUGAAAUCGCUUUGGUCCCAGGGGUAUGACCUGCUUCCCUGCAUGGGAGCUGGGGUGUCUGCUCCGCUUCUGCUCAGCACUGGUCUCACUGCACUUCUUCAGCAGUUUGCCCAGGAUUUAUCUUUUUGUGGAAGUCUGAGGAAGGUUUACUUCGGUAACAGGAUCAGGGACUUCUGUCCCUUUUUGGUUAUUGUGUUCCAUGUAGUUUUUGAGGGCUGUAACUAAGAAGUGGAAGAUGAAGCUGAAUGGUGGAAAACCCCUCUCGCUGAAAAUGGUGCUUAAAAAAAAAAAGAAAAAAAAAGAAGAAGAAAAAUGAUCUGAAGCAAACUUCCUCUGCUAGCUGUCUCCUGCCUGUCGGGAAAGGAGAGAUUGGCAAUUCAUCGCCCACUCCUCGGAAGAGUCUGGCAGCGUGUUUGCUGAAAAUAUAAAGUCAAAUGUAAGAGCUGCAAUCCUUGCAAUGCCCCCGAUUUAUAUUUAUGGCUAAAAGGGGUUUUGCCAGUUGCUUUGUGCAGCAGGGAAAUGUGCUGCAAACGACUGAGUCUUCAGUUUUCCACCGAGACCAGUGGAUGCUUUGGUUAGCAGAGGGCUGUGACCCGGGCUGCGGUGGGAAGACUGGUGUCCCACAGCCAAACCAGUGCUCCCUGUGUGUGCCGGGAUCGGGGCAGAGCCGUACGGGGUGGGGGUUGAUAACAGGAUAAACCUCUGGAAAAAUUAA